GAUCGGGCUCAGGAUGAACGCUAGCUACAGGCUUAACACAUGCAAGUCGAGGGGCAUCAGUUUGGUUUGCUUGCAAACCAAAGCUGGCGACCGGCGCACGGGUGAGUAACACGUAUCCAACCUGCCUCAUACUCGGGGAUAGCCUUUCGAAAGAAAGAUUAAUAUCCGAUAGCAUAUAUUUCCCGCAUGGGUUUUAUAUUAAAGAAAUUCGGUAUGAGAUGGGGAUGCGUUCCAUUAGUUUGUUGGCGGGG
rnacentral:rRNA from 1 species